AGUGCAGAAGGGGAGAGUGGAAUUCCAUGUGUAGCGGUGAAAUGNGUAGAUAUAUGGAGGAACACCAGUGGCGAAAGCGGCUCUNUGGUCUGUCACUGACGCUGAGGCUNGAAAGCGUGGGUAGCGAACAGGAUUAGAUACCCUGGUAGUCCACGCCGUAAACGAUGAGUGCUAGGUGUUAGGCCCUUUCCGGGGCUUAGUGCCGGAGCUAACGCAAUAAGCACUCCGCCUGGGGAGUACGACCGCAAGGUUGAAACUCAAAGGAAUUGACGGGGGCCCGCACAAGCGGUGGAGCAUGUGGUUUAAUUCGAAGCAACGCGAAGAACCUUACCAGGUCUUGACAUCCCGAUGCUAUUCUUAGAGAUAGGAAGUUACUUCGGUACAUCGGAGACAGGUGGUGCAUGGUUGUCGUCAGCUCGUGUCGUGAGAUGUUGGGUUAAGUCCCGCAACGAGCGCAACCCUUAUUGUUAGUUGCCAUCAUUAAGUUGGGCACUCUAGCGAGACUGCCGGUAAUAAACCGGAGGAAGGUGGGGAUGACGUCAAAUCAUCAUGCCCCUUAUGACCUGGGCUACACACGUGCUACAAUGGUCGGUACAACGAGUUGCGAGCCGGUGACGGCAAGCUAAUCUCUGAAAGCCGAUCUCAGUUCGGAUUGGAGGCUGCAACUCGCCUCCAUGAAGUCGGAAUCGCUAGUAAUCGCGGAUCAGCACGCCGCGGUGAAUACGUUCCCGGGCCUUGUACACACCGCCCGUCACACCACGAGAGUUUGUAACACCCGAAGUCGGUGAGGUAACCUUUUAGGGNCCAGCC
rnacentral:rRNA from 1 species